GGAUGAGCAGGCUCUCUGCCAUCUGCCCACCAACUUUUCAAGUUACUUUUACCCACCUUCAAAAUUACAUCUGCUUUUAGCAAGAAUUACUGAUGUGAUAAAGAUGGGAGUGUUCACCAUGCAAGGGCAGGGGAUCCCCUGCUGCUCCACCAUCAGAUUUGGGACACCACCCCCCCCCCGGCCCCACCAGAGGGCAUCAGCUAUGCCUAGCAAUUACGCCCCCGUGGCUAAAUUAAACUCCCAUUGGCUAAAUUAGGCUCGAAGAGAGGGGCACCUGCUGCUAAGCUGUGUAUGUUGUCCCCUAGGACUCCCACCGUUUGCUGAGCUCCACAUGACAACAGCAGACGACAGGCCGCACUGAUCCCACCUGGCUUACAGGUGCUGUCACACAGGACUGCUGACUAAACACUUUCAAGCACAGUGGACCCUUGAACAACGCAGGUUCAAACUGUGCAGGUCCACCCACAGGGAUGUUUUUCAAUCAGAGUUAUACCAAGUGUCCCUGCCUCUCCUGCCUCCCUUCCCACUUCCUCCAUGUCUUCCUCUCUGCCACCCUGAGGCAGCAAGACCAGCCCCUCCUCCUCAGCCACUCAACAUGAAGACAACGAGGAUGAAGACUUCUAUGAUAAUCCACUUCCACUUAGUAAAUGCUUUCUCUUAUGAUAUUCUUAAUGACAUUUUAUUUUCCCAAGCUUAGUUUAUUGUAAGAAUACAGUAUAAAUACACAUACAAAGUACGUGUUAACUGAUUUUUUAAUGUUACCAGUAAGGCUUCCAGUUAACAGUAGGCUAUUUAUUAGUUAAGUUUGGAGGGAGCCUGAAGUUAUACAAGCUCUGACUGCGUGAGGGGUUGGCUCUCCAACCCUCACAUUGUUCAAGGCUCAACUGCACCUCUCCUACCUAUCUCCCCCACCCUCUGAUGUAGUAGGAUAAAUAUAAAAACACUUAGAAAUCCUUGAAAACCAGGAAAAAUGCCACCAACAGACUAGAACAUUGGAGAAUUUCUGGAAGAUAUAAA
rnacentral:lncRNA from 10 species